GACGAACGCUGGCGGCGUGCUUAACACAUGCAAGUCGAACGAUGAAGCUGGAGCUUGCUCCGGUGGAUUAGUGGCGAACGGGUGAGUAACACGUGAGCAAUCUGCCCUUGACUCUGGGAUAACUGCGGGAAACUGUAGCUAAUACCGGAUACGAGGCUCGAAGGCAUCUUCGGGUCUGGAAAGAAUUUCGGUCAAGGAUGAGCUCGCGGCCUAUCAGCUUGUUGGUGAGGUAAUGGCUCACCAAGGCGACGACGGGUAGCCGGCCUGAGGGGGUGACCGGCCACUGGGACUGAGACACGGCCCAGACUCCUACGGGAGGCAGCAGUGGGGAAUAUUGCACAAUGGGCGAAAGCCUGAUGCAGCAACGCCGCGUGAGGGAUGAAGGCCUUCGGGUUGUAAACCUCUUUUAGCAGGGAAGAAGCGAAAGUGACGGUACCUGCAGAAAAAGCACCGGCUAACUACGUGCCAGCCGCCGCAGUAA
rnacentral:rRNA from 1 species